rnacentral:rRNA from 1 species
AAUCCAUAGGUUAAUGAGGCGAACCGGGGGAACUGAAACAUCUAAGUACCCCGAGGAAAAGAAAUCAACCGAGAUUCCCCCAGUAGCGGCGAGCGAACGGGGAGGAGCCCAGAGCCUGAAUCAGCAUGUGUGUUAGUGGAAGCGUCUGGAAAGGCGCGCGAUACAGGGUGACAGCCCCGUACACAAAAGCGCAUGUGCUGUGAGCUCGAUGAGUAGGGCGGGACACGUGGUAUCCUGUCUGAAUAUGGGGGGACCAUCCUCCAAGGCUAAAUACUCCUGACUGACCGAUAGUGAACCAGUACCGUGAGGGAAAGGCGAAAAGAACCCCGGCGAGGGGAGUGAAAAAGAACCUGAAACCGUGUACGUACAAGCAGUGGGAGCACAGGUUUACCUGUGUGACUGCGUACCUUUUGUAUAAUGGGUCAGCGACUUAUAUUCUGUAGCAAGGUUAACCGAAUAGGGGAGCCGGAGGGAAACCGAGUCUUAAUUGGGCGUUAAGUUGCAGGGUAUAGACCCGAAACCCGGUGAUCUAGCCAUGGGCAGGUUGAAGGUUGGGUAACACUAACUGGAGGACCGAACCGACUAAUGUUGAAAAAUUAGCGGAUGACCUGUGGCUGGGGGUGAAAGGCCAAUCAAACCGGGAGAUAGCUGGUUCUCCCCGAAAGCUAUUUAGGUAGCGCCUCGUGAAUUCAUCUCCGGGGGUAGAGCACUGUUUCGGCUAGGGGGCCAUCCCGGCUUACCAACCCGAUGCAAACUGCGAAUACCGGAGAAUGUUAUCACGGGAGACACACGGCGGGUGCUAACGUCCGUCGUGAAGAGGGAAACAACCCAGACCGCCAGCUAAGGUCCCAAAGUCAUGGUUAAGUGGGAAACGAUGUGGGAAGGCCCAGACAGCCAGGAUGUUGGCUUAGAAGCAGCCAUCAUUUAAAGAAAGCGUAAUAGCUCACUGGUCGAGUCGGCCUGCGCGGAAGAUGUAACGGGGCUAAACCAUGCACCGAAGCUGCGGCAGCGAACGUAUCACUUAAAGCGAUUCAGCGGGUUACGAUUGACGGAGCGAAGCGACGUCAAAGCGUAUACAAAGUCGAGUCGGUUUAAGGAUACGUUCGUUGGGUAGGGGAGCGUUCUGUAAGCCUGCGAAGGUGGCCUGUGAGGGUUGCUGGAGGUAUCAGAAGUGCGAAUGCUGACAUAAGUAACGAUAAAGCGGGUGAAAAGCCCGCUCGCCGGAAGACCAAGGGUUCCUGUCCAACGUUAAUCGGGGCAGGGUGAGUCGACCCCUAAGGCGAGGCCGAAAGGCGUAGUCGAUGGGAAACGGGUUAAUAUUCCCGUACUUGGUGUUACUGCGAAGGGGGGACGGAGAAGGCUAUGUUGGCCGGGCGACGGUUGUCCCGGUUUAAGCGUGUAGGUGUGUGUUCCAGGUAAAUCCGGUUCACUUUAACACUGAGGCGUGAUGACGAGGCACUACGGUGCUGAAGCAACAAAUGCCCUGCUUCCAGGAAAAGCCUCUAAGCAUCAGGUAACAUCAAAUCGUACCCCAAACCGACACAGGUGGUCAGGUAGAGAAUACCAAGGCGCUUGAGAGAACUCGGGUGAAGGAACUAGGCAAAAUGGUGCCGUAACUUCGGGAGAAGGCACGCUGACACGUAGGUGAAGUGAUUUACUCA